rnacentral:rRNA from 1 species
AUUGAACGCUGGCGGCAGGCCUAACACAUGCAAGUCGAGCGGAGCGGCGGACGGGUGAGUAAUGCCUAGGUAUCUGCCUGGCAGUGGGGGAUAACGUCCGGAUACGGGCGCUAAUACCGCACACUAUCAGAUAAGCCUAGGCCGGUUUAGCUAGUUGGUGGGUUAAAGGCCUACCAAGGCGACGAUCCGUAACUGGCCUGUGUGGAGGAUCAGUCACACUGGAACUGAGACACGGUCCAGACUCCUACGGGAGGCAGCAGUGGGGAAUAUUGGACAAUGGGCGAAAGCCUGAUCCAGCCAUGCCGCGUGUGUGAAGAAGGUCUUCGGAUUGUAAAGCACUUUAAGUUGGGAGGCGUUACCAGCAGAAUAAGCACCGGCUAACUUCGUGCCAGCAGCCGCGGUAAUAC